GACGUAGGAUGCAAGCGUUGUCCGGAUUUAUUGGGCGUAAAGAGUUCGUAGGUGGUUCGUUAAGUCUGAUGUUAAAGACCGGGGCUCAACUUCGGGACUGCAUUGGAUACUGGCGGACUUGAGUGUGGUAGAGGCAAUCGGAAUUCCAGGUGUAGCGGUGAAAUGCGUAGAUAUCUGGAAGAACACCGGUGGCGAAGGCGGGUCUCUGGGCCGAUACUGACGCUGAGGAGCGAAAGCGUGGGGAGCGAACGGG
rnacentral:rRNA from 1 species